CUUCUUUCUUCAAUCUAGCCCAAUUGUUUCUUUUUUCUUUUAUUUAGCCUCAAAUUGUAUUCCUGCACAAAAUUCAAUAAAUAUGACAAAAUUAGUGGUGCAUUCUCAUAAAUUAACCAAAUUAAUUAUAUAAAAUAUGUAAUUUUAGCAUUUAAUCGGUGGCACUAGUCGAUAAAAGCUUACAGCAACGGGAAGCUGCCACGAACAUGCUGAAAUUUUAUCUUCAACGGGUGCAAGAUCGAAUGAAAGUGAUGGUGGAUCGAAAGCGGAGUGAGCACGAAUUUAAGGCGCAGUAUCUUGUAUAUUUGAAACUGCAGCCUUAUAGGCAACAAACUGUAGGAGGUUCAAUCGCAAGUUAGCUCCCAAGUUUUUUGGUCCCUUCCUUGUGCUGGCCAAGAUUGCCAAGGUUGCAUACACGCUCCAGCUGCCUGUGGGUUCCGCGUCCAUCCUACCUUUCAUGUGUCAUAAUUGAACCAGUGCAGGCAAAGCUUCCAGUGGUUGGGUCUGAUGGGACUAUUGUCAAGGAACCGGUGCGAAUUCUAGAGCGCUGCAUGACUAAGCGAGGGAACCGGGCAGUGACUGAAGUGCUGGUUCAAUGGUCCAAUGCCUUUCCCGAGGAUGCUACGUGGGAGCUGCUCUACGACCUGCAACAACAGUUUCCUUCCUUUGAUCCUUGAGGACGAGGAUCGAGUGUGGGAGGUAGCAAUUGUUGAAAAUAAAAAGAUUGAAGGGUUAUAUUUUGUCAUUUAGUUUUCAAUUUUGUGAAUUGUUGAACCGGUGCGUCUUGUUUUGAUUGUGGGUUAAAGCGGUUAAUAAAGGAGGGAAUGAGGGCGUGGAUUUCAGUCACCCAAAUUCAAGAAAAUUCCCUUCUUCCUCUCUGUUCCUCUAUUCCCUUCUCGUUCUUCCUUCUUUUCUUCUCAAAUUCUUAAUCUCAUAAACAGUCCACAUCAGUUGGAACUACAUCGUGGUUUUCCUAUUUUACACUCAGAUUCUGCAAACAUGGAUAGAGAUAGGUGACAAGAUAAGUGAUGCAAAAAGUUGGGAAUAUGAUGGUGUAGAUAAAUCAAGAAAUUCUUAUCUCCUGUCAUUUUAGAACCAAAACCAUACCCUAUCUUAUACGGUCCCAUGUAUUCGACAUAAUUCAAUUAUUUCUUUGUUUCCCAUCAGACAAGCGUAAGGACAACAUGGUGCUUCUUCAUAUUUUUGCAUAUUUCUAAGUAAUAAUGAUAUUAUUAGGCUAUACAACUUUUAAGACUAGGCUAGGGAAGAAAACCAGAAGUAGAAUUGAAGCAAAACCACUGGAUUCAGUUCUGUAGAAUCAUAAGUAGGAAGAAACUUAGCUUCUUGAUGAUCAAGUUUGGCCCUUAACAGUCUAGCAGUAGAAAAACUUCUUGAUUAUCAGCAAAUUGAAUUCACCUUUAUUUUUAAUUUCUUUAGCUUUUUUAUACCAGUGAGAUGUUGUGUUUUUCUUCCAAGGUUGAUCGAUUUUUGAAGAUGACCUAAAGGCAUUGUUUGUACCUCAUUGCCGACAUUGUAUAAGCCAUAGCCAUUCAAUGUACGGACACAGAUAUUUUCUCCAUGCACACCCAAUCAAUGUGCGGUCCUGUUUCAAAUAGAGUAGGAUCAUGUAGUGAAAGCUGAA
rnacentral:lncRNA from 1 species